rnacentral:rRNA from 1 species
GACAUCAGCCGCCACGGGAAUACGAAGGGGGCUAGCGUUGUUCGGAAUUACUGGGCGUAAAGCGUACGUAGGCGGAUUGUUAAGUGAGGGGUGAAAUCCCGAGGCUCAACCUCGGAACUGCCUUUCAUACUGGCAAUCUUGAGUCCGGGAGAGGUGAGUGGAACUCCUAGUGUAGAGGUGAAAUUCGUAGAUAUUAGGAAGAACACCAGUGGCGAAGGCGGCUCACUGGCCCGGAACUGACGCUGAGGUACGAAAGCGUGGGGAGCAAACAGGAUUAGAUACCCCCGUAGUCCCUGUCUCUUAUAA